rnacentral:rRNA from 1 species
CGUUCCCGGGCCUUGUACACACCGCCCGUCACACCACGAAAGUCGGUAACACCCGAAGCCAGUGGCCCAACCGUAAGGAGGGAGCUGUCGAAGGUGGGAUUGGUGAUUGGGGUG